rnacentral:rRNA from 1 species
AAUCCAUAGGUUAAUGAGGCGAACCGGGGGAACUGAAACAUCUAAGUACCCCGAGGAAAAGAAAUCAACCGAGAUUCCCCCAGUAGCGGCGAGCGAACGGGGAGGAGCCCAGAGCCUGAAUCAGCAUGUGUGUUAGUGGAAGCGUCUGGAAAGGCGCGCGAUACAGGGUGACAGCCCCGUACACAAAAGCGCAUGUGCUGUGAGCUCGAUGAGUAGGGCGGGACACGUGGUAUCCUGUCUGAAUAUGGGGGGACCAUCCUCCAAGGCUAAAUACUCCUGACUGACCGAUAGUGAACCAGUACCGUGAGGGAAAGGCGAAAAGAACCCCGGCGAGGGGAGUGAAAAAGAACCUGAAACCGUGUACGUACAAGCAGUGGGAGCACCCUUUGGGUGUGACUGCGUACCUUUUGUAUAAUGGGUCAGCGACUUAUAUUCUGUAGCAAGGUUAACCGAAUAGGGGAGCCGGAGGGAAACCGAGUCUUAAUUGGGCGUUAAGUUGCAGGGUAUAGACCCGAAACCCGGUGAUCUAGCCAUGGGCAGGUUGAAGGUUGGGUAACACUAACUGGAGGACCGAACCGACUAAUGUUGAAAAAUUAGCGGAUGACCUGUGGCUGGGGGUGAAAGGCCAAUCAAACCGGGAGAUAGCUGGUUCUCCCCGAAAGCUAUUUAGGUAGCGCCUCGUGAAUUCAUCUCCGGGGGUAGAGCACUGUUUCGGCUAGGGGGCCAUCCCGGCUUACCAACCCGAUGCAAACUGCGAAUACCGGAGAAUGUUAUCACGGGAGACACACGGCGGGUGCUAACGUCCGUCGUGAAGAGGGAAACAACCCAGACCGCCAGCUAAGGUCCCAAAGUCAUGGUUAAGUGGGAAACGAUGUGGGAAGGCCCAGACAGCCAGGAUGUUGGCUUAGAAGCAGCCAUCAUUUAAAGAAAGCGUAAUAGCUCACUGGUCGAGUCGGCCUGCGCGGAAGAUGUAACGGGGCUAAACCAUGCACCGAAGCUGCGGCAGCGACACUGUGUGUUGUUGGGUAGGGGAGCGUUCUGUAAGCCUGUGAAGGUGUGUCGUGAGGCAUGCUGGAGGUAUCAGAAGUGCGAAUGCUGACAUAAGUAACGAUAAAGCGGGUGAAAAGCCCGCUCGCCGGAAGACCAAGGGUUCCUGUCCAACGUUAAUCGGGGCAGGGUGAGUCGACCCCUAAGGCGAGGCCGAAAGGCGUAGUCGAUGGGAAACGGGUUAAUAUUCCCGUACUUGGUGUUACUGCGAAGGGGGGACGGAGAAGGCUAUGUUGGCCGGGCGACGGUUGUCCCGGUUUAAGCGUGUAGGUGUGUGUUCCAGGUAAAUCCGGUUCACUUUAACACUGAGGCGUGACGACGAGGCACUACGGUGCUGAAGCAACAAAUGCCCUGCUUCCAGGAAAAGCCUCUAAGCAUCAGGUAACAUCAAAUCGUACCCCAAACCGACACAGGUGGUCAGGUAGAGAAUACCAAGGCGCUUGAGAGAACUCGGGUGAAGGAACUAGGCAAAAUGGUGCCGUAACUUCGGGAGAAGGCACGCUGACACGUAGGUGAAGUGAUUUACUCAUGGAGCUGAAGUCAGUCGAAGAUACCAGCUGGCUGCAACUGUUUAUUAAAAACACAGCACUGUGCAAACACGAAAGUGGACGUAUACGGUGUGACGCCUGCCCGGUGCCGGAAGGUUAAUUGAUGGGGUCAGCGCAAGCGAAGCUCCUGAUCGAAGCCCCGGUAAACGGCGGCCGUAACUAUAACGGUCCUAAGGUAGCGAAAUUCCUUGUCGGGUAAGUUCCGACCUGCACGAAUGGCGUAAUGAUGGCCAGGCUGUCUCCACCCGAGACUCAGUGAAAUUGAACUCGCUGUGAAGAUGCAGUGUACCCGCGGCAAGACGGAAAGACCCCGUGAACCUUUACUAUAGCUUGACACUGAACAUUGAGCCUUGAUGUGUAGGAUAGGUGGGAGGCUUUGAAGUGUGGACGCCAGUCUGCAUGGAGCCGACCUUGAAAUACCACCCUUUAAUGUUUGAUGUUCUAACGUGGACCCGUUACCCGGGUUGCGGACAGUGUCUGGUGGGUAGUUUGACUGGGGCGGUCUCCUCCUAAAGAGUAACGGAGGAGCACGAAGGUUGGCUAAUCCUGGUCGGACAUCAGGAGGUUAGUGCAAUGGCAUAAGCCAGCUUGACUGCGAGCGUGACGGCGCGAGCAGGUGCGAAAGCAGGUCAUAGUGAUCCGGUGGUUCUGAAUGGAAGGGCCAUCGCUCAACGGAUAAAAGGUACUCCGGGGAUAACAGGCUGAUACCGCCCAAGAGUUCAUAUCGACGGCGGUGUUUGGCACCUCGAUGUCGGCUCAUCACAUCCUGGGGCUGAAGUAGGUCCCAAGGGUAUGGCUGUUCGCCAUUUAAAGUGGUACGCGAGCUGGGUUUAGAACGUCGUGAGACAGUUCGGUCCCUAUCUGCCGUGGGCGCUGGAGAACUGAGGGGGGCUGCUCCUAGUACGAGAGGACCGGAGUGGACGCAUCACUGGUGUUCGGGUUGUCAUGCCAAUGGCACUGCCCGGUAGCUAAAUGCGGAAGAGAUAAGUGCUGAAAGCAUCUAAGCACGAAACUUGCCCCGAGAUGAGUUCUCC